UACGUAGGGUGCAAGCGUUGUCCGGAAUUAUUGGGCGUAAAGAGCUUGUAGGCGGUUUGUCGCGUCUGCUGUGAAAAUCCGGGGCUCAACCCCGGACUUGCAGUGGGUACGGGCAGACUAGAGUGUGGUAGGGGAGACUGGAAUUCCUGGUGUAGCGGUGAAAUGCGCAGAUAUCAGGAGGAACACCAAUUGCGAAGGCAGCUCGCUGGGACGUU
rnacentral:rRNA from 1 species